CGUAAGAGAAAACAUUUGCUUUUUCGAAAAUUAAAUUGUUUAAAGUUAGUUUGCUUGAUAUGUGCACGCCCUAGUCGGGUAUCAUAUGUCAUAAAUGACCAUCUUGUUAGUAAACAUAAUCUUGAAAGCAUACAGUAUUACUAUGACCUUCCGCCUUAGUCGGUGUUUGGGUUUGUAACGACCAUUACUUCUACACCCCUUUGAGUCCGGGGUAUGCCGGCCGGAAUACCUCAUCCCCAAAGUAGAAUAUAAAUGGUAUAUAGGCAUAUACAUACAAAAUUGUUUCAAAAGAUUCUUAUCUAAUCCAUGAAUUUGAUUUGCAUAACAUAACAUAAUUUCAUACAUAUAUCGUAGCAUAAAAAAGUAAUUUACUCUACUUUAGAGAUUAAGGUUACUUACUUGUUUGCAUAGACGUCGCGCUACACUCGUUCAUUGUAAUCUUUAGGCUAGUCGGAUUAAUUCAUAUAUAUUUCAUUUAUUGACAUAAUUAGUAUUAAAACCUUCAUUUAAGUGUUUAUAAUUUAAUUAAGUUUAUUUACCAAUUACUAAGCUAAUCGUGGAUGCUUGGUUUGUUGGCUCAAUGCCUUGAUUUUUGAUGAUAAUAAAAUUUAUUUUGUAGUGCUCUGAUAUCUCACACUGAAUGAAGACCUGAUUCUUUAUAAGCAAUGCAUUCUCGUAUUGCUCCACAAAUUGUUUCAAGGUCUUCUUUGUAUUUUAGUAAACCAUAAAAUAUAAGUCUACCCUACUUCUUUAUGUGGAGAAUUCCUGCCCAAAACACUUCCAAAAGUCGGCACCAUCGAUUCCUUUCUAAUACAUCCCAUGUACCUGUCAUUAUUUUUGAGGUUCCUACUUUUUGAUAAACCUCCGCAAGCAUUCUCAAAACUCAUCUACUGUAAGUGAAUCCUAAUUGCUUAAUGCAAAGAAGGUUAAAUUGAUUUUAAUGCCUUGUCACUUUCUCAUUUUUUCAAGCACUUUUUAUAGUGAUUUGUACUCAAACUUAUCAAUUACAGGAAGCAGAGAAUAUGGAUUAAGUCUAUAAGGAGAAUUCAAUUUGUCAAAUCUAAUCAAUCAAGCAAAUAUUGAACGUAUUAUACUUAGAAAUUAAUUUUUAACAUCAACAUAAGAAAAAUUACAUGUAUCACCAGCUUUAUAAUAAAAAAAUUGACCUUGUAAAAAUUCACAUUAAGAAAAUCAGAAGCCCACUUCAAAAACAAAAGAACCGUAUUAUAUUCUCAACUUUUGAUUCAGAUGUUCUCCCAUAAAAUAAUCACAUAAAUUGUAUGAUAAGUGUAUAGAAGAUGAAGGAAAUAUCAUCUUCUUAAAAAAAAAAAUUAAAUCUGGACUAAAACUAUCUUCACCCAAUCUUUCUAUAUAUACACAGACGUAUGUGUAUAUAUAUAUAGAGAGGAAAAGAGUGUUACCUAGUAGGGGGAGCGGUGGUCACCAAAACGCUCUCUCUCUUCGGACGAACAUAAUUUGGGGUUUGAAUUUUGCUGAAAUCGUCCCCAAAUUCUGGCUUUCUGAGAUGCAUAUCGGAUUUGUUUGUUGUACCUGAAAAUCGCAGUCAUUACAAAUACAAUGUGCUAUAGGAGCAAACAAACUUGUAUUUAUAGAAGUACCCCCAACUUGUUUCACCAAAUUACUAGCAAUCAAAUGCUUGAGUUAUCAGAGCAAAUGAUAGGAGAAAUAUAUUGCACUAAUCUCUGUCACUUCUUGUGAAAUUCAAAAAUAUAUUACACAUUAUUUAAAAAACGGUUUUGCUAAUCACCGCCAAUUGAAUGGUGGUUAAUGCACACUUUUAUAGAUAAUUAUACUUUUUUACAUAAUUCAAUACACUUGCAUGGAUAUUUGUACACAUUGCACACUGGUGGUUAGCAUAUGCCUUCAAUAAAUACUUCAAUCUCAGCCAUCCUCAGCCAAAAGACAAAAGAAGGUAAAACAAUUGGCAAAAAACCCAAAGUUUGUGUUCGGACUAUAAUCAAUAUUUCCGAUUAGGGACCAAAAACACAAGAAAAUUAUAACAUGUAUAACAACUUUAGAGCAGAGGGCUGUAAUCUAAGAAUUUGGAGAAGUUAGCAUGAAGAUAUACAAAGGAUGAUUGUUGAAAAGGAGAGUAAAGUACGUCUCAAUAAUGCCACUUUAGGCUGUGUUUGGAUGUCCAUAAUCUUUCAGGGAAUGAAAAAAUCUUGAUACUAGACAAAUUCAAAACCUAGUGAUCUAAGCUUGAGUUUUCCCUUCAGGAAUCUUAUUAGUUAGGGAAAACUAUUUUUAUGAUUAUUAGAGUUCAACCUUUCCUGUUCUGAGUUACUAUUGAGCGAGGGUGGGAUCCAGAUCCUACUUAGUUUGGAAAUUGUGCAUAGCAAUGGGGAUAGGUAAUUGGGAAUCGCAUUCCUAUUACCAGUCCGUUCCAAAAGUAGGAAUUUUGGAGAUCCCCCAUUCCCAUUCCCAUUCCCAUCAGAUUCCUUCCAAUCCAAACAGAUCCCUAUGGUUUUGAAGAAUCCAUUAUAUUGAGAGAGCUAAUACUUAUCGUCACACUUUCUUCUUGUCUUUGUAUUCAUCAUAGCAUUUCUUUCGCCUUCCAGUUCUGGAUUCUUCAGAGUCAGGUGAAAAGAAGAAACUAUCAUGAAAUCAGUGGUAUUGGUUUCAGCCCUGAACUUGAAAGAGGAAGGACAAUACUGAGUAAAUGGUCGAAUCGAAUUGAUGGCGAACAAAUCCUUGUUGCUAAAAACAGUGACUAGCGUGGUCACGAUGGACAGAUAUCGUUGUCUGGUGAGCAGAUUGAGGAUGUAACAGAUGAACCAACAGAGGUCUCCCAUUAUGGCAGAAGGCAAUGCAAAGAAAAUAAAAUGAGUUGUGUGCAGAAUCAGGAGAAAAUCGAUGAUUGCUCGAUAAUUCUUAUCUGUAAAAACAUGUCAUGUCAAGAUAAUGAAAAAUUGGCACUUCAAAUAAAGCUCCAACGCUCAUGAGAAAUUAGUAGCUCUAGCAUCGGAAGAGAAUUAUCAGCAAGAAAGGAACACGAUUAGUUACUAAAAAAACAAGAGGGACAGCAAGUUUACUUAGUAUAUAUCUGAUAAGUAGCCCCCACUAGGGGUUUCAUAGAAGAUUAGCCUUUAACAUUUUUGCAGGAUGGAAAAAUAUAUUAUAUAUACAUACCACAUAUAAUCGGUGGAUGUUCUAUUGUUUGAAUCCAACCAUUUCUAUUGGUUGAAAAGCAUGCAGAUUCUCAUGCAGAUCUAACUUGAGCUCGAGAAUUAUCUAUUUUCGUUUUCCCUAGGGAAAGCCAUCCAACCAAGAAGGUAUAUUAAGAGUCUAGACACUGGCUGAAAGGCUUUAUAUGAGAGCGGCAUGCAAUUAUGAGCCAAAAAGCCACAUUUUAUUGCGCGAAAGUUUUUUUUAUGAGCGGUGACACCACCACGUGGUGGCGUCCCAAAUUAAAGUGUAUAGUGGGACGGGGGUACAAAUAUGAAUUAAUUGUCACACUUAGAGAUACAUGUCAGAAUUAUUCUUUGAAGUGAACUCAGCCUUCAAGUCUCAUUCAUAACAUCAACAAGUAAACAUUCACAAGAUCCAAACUGUAACAAACAUAAUUAGUUGAAAGCAGCAAGCUAAAAUUGCCCGGUAGUCGCGGUCGGUAUAGGAACCAAAACACUAAGCACGCAUUUAAUUUGAGUCCAAUUGGAGCCUUAAACAGAAACCCUCGCCCAAAUAUUGAUGGACUUAUAACUGUUAAUACAAGAGGGAAAUUACUAGUAAUAAUUGCAUUCCAAUUCAGAGGAUGUCAAACAAAUAGGUAUUUGGAAGAGACUCCACAUUUUGCGUAUACAAUAAUAUAACACACACAAGACAAUGGGAAGCUGACCGAAGACCUAGUUUUCCAAGUUCUGUUCAAAUAUUUCAUGGCCAUUUCCGCGAAUAAUUCCAAACCAAUAACAAAAAUUCAUGUCAACUCUUGGGUAAUGAAAGAGCAGUAAGUGCCUUGAAACACCACAAUCAAGUGCAAAAGGAAGGAAGCAUCAAUGCAAACCUCAAUGUCUUUUGCCACAGCUGUGAUCUUAAUCCAUUGAGCGAUGCUAUCCUCUCCACAGACAAAAGCACAAUGGCAUAUCUUUGUCAUCUACAAUGGCUCUGGCAAAUCUGAUCACAUCCAAAGAGCUCUUCGGAAGUUUCGGAAUGUCAGAUCAAACUUCCAGGUAUUGUUAACAUUCAUCAUGCAAGCUAGCUCUCACAGAUUCCAAUAUCUUGCUGUUUUCCAGACCAGAGCUGCAGAUAAAAUCAAACGUUAGGACUAUAAACAUUUGGUUAAGAGUAUACUGGAAGACGUGAAGUACCAAUAAGCAAAAAAAAGAUAGGAACCGUUGUUGCCUCUUUUACAGAUAUAAAAAAUUGUGUUCAGUUUUGAAGACAUUUUCCUUCUCUGAAUAGACCUUUAUCAAGAUCCUAAACCAGAUAAAUUGACAACCAGGAACCGACCAACUUCACCAUGAUGAGUAACAGGUUCAAACGUUUGAUGAUCAAUUGGGAUCUCAAAUAGACUCUUUUAACUCAAAAUCUAUGCUUCAACAUUCGUAAUGUUGAAAAACCAGCCUUUGUCUAUGUUUUAUCCAAGGAUCCAACUCUACAAUAUUAAUUCAAAAUAUAAUGUUGAGUACAUCCUAUCUGGAUGAGUCAUGGCGUGUUCAAGUGAUGUGAAACUCUAUUGAGUUUGUAGAACUCUUUGAGAGUGGUAUCUUUUGUUUCCUAGUUAGAUUAGGAUAAUAAUUAGGUAAUAAUUAGGAUUUGUUAGGAGUCUACCACCUUCUUCCCUUGGUCUAUAAAGGGAGGGUAGGGUGUUUCUGUGGUUGUGGUAUGGGUGAGAUAGAGUGUUGUGAGGUGAGAUUGAGAUUGAGAUUGAGAUUGAGAGGCAAAACAGAGAGAUUAUGAGAGAGGGUGUGAGUUGAGAGGUGAUUCUCCUCCAUUGUAAUCCAUUCGUUCGAUAGUAGAUUGUUGAUUUCUCUUCGUGGACGUAGGUAUCGUUGGCUGAACCACGUAAAUCUUUAUUAUCUUUUGUAUGUGUGAUCGGUGAUUUAUUUUGAGCGUAAUAUAUAAUAACUAUGAGCAAUAUUAUACGAUCCAAAACAAAAAGAGAACAAAAUCAUUCAAUCAUGAACACACCAGAAUCUUUAUGUGGAAACUCUUGAAUGGGAGAAAAAUCACAUGUUCUCUUUGGCGGACAAAAAUCAUGUGCUAUAACUUGAGGUUACUGUUGGAUAUUGGUUUAUUUCAGUAUGCUUGUACUAGUAAAAAAAACACUAUUUAUAAGGGCCAUUAUUUGGCUAUUUCUUUAAUUACGAUUUUACCUUUUUCUUCUUCAGUCUUUUCAUAUUAACAUAUAUAACGGGGGUGAGGCACAUGGUGUCCAGAGGGGGCACAUGUCCCCCUCAAGUUUGACAAUUUUUUUUUUAGCUAUAGUUUUAAUUUUUUUUUAUAAUUGGCCCCCCUCAAAAUUAUAAAUGCCCCCCCUUAAAAUACAAAUUCAAUUUAUCCCUCAAAUUUUUUUUCUAGUUUUUCGCCACUGUAUAUAAUUGGGCAUUCUUCAUUGAUGUUUUGAGCUUGUUAUAAUAUCAUUGGGCCUGUGCUUGUUACUGGCCAAGUGAAGGAGAGACAACGGCGUCUGCGCUCUCAGAGUAUGCUCUACAGUUUUUGUUAUUAAAAGUCAUUUCCUGAGUUAUUUGUAAUUAUGGGAUGUUUUUAUUUCCCAAAUGUAACAAAAAAAGAAUUGAUUUUUUUCCUGUUAUAUGUGAAGUCAUGCUUGUUGCAGCAGAUGCAGCCUGUCGCAGCAUCAAGGAUCAAAAAACAAGAAAACGCUCCAACCACUACUAGACAGUGGUCAAGACACUAGUGGCUUGAACAACAACACACACAAUACUUCAUCUGUUUUAUAUUAAUGGUCUAUUUUUACAAUUCUAACCUCUCAAAAAAUUAUUUAUAAUUUAUAAUUUAUAUUGUUUUUGAUAAUUUUAAAAAUUUUGUAUAAAAGAACUAAUUGAAACCUUUUAAUUAGUGUAAAAAAUCUUAAAAAUUAUUCAUAAAAAUAUAUUAUUUGGUGAUUUGAUUAAAGAACACGAAUGCUCAAAAUUAAUAAUUUUAAAAAUUUUAUAUAAAAGAACUAAUUGAGACCUUUUAAUUAGUGUAAAAAAUCUUAAAUAUUAUUCAUAAAAAUAUAUUGUUUGGUGAUUCGAUUAAAGAACACGAAUGCUCAAAAUAAACUUAGGACGGAUGGAGUAUUAUGCGGCUGGGAAGGAAAUAUAAUUUUUUUUUGAUUUUAUAAGGAGGAAAGAAAAUAAUAAACAACAUAAAUGAAAAAAAAAAGUGGAGAUUUUUUUUUAAGCUAAAAAGUGAAGAUUAAUAAUGUGAAAAAAAUCCAAAAUCUAAAAAGAAAACCAAACCGUACCCGACCAAUUGCCAUCCAAAUACUCCACUUAGAACCCUGCGUUGGGUUCCUUUGCCCCUCUCUCUCAAACAGCUCGGAGUAGAAGGCAGCGAGCACACUACUUUCUGGAUAUGAGGCCUUCUAAGGGGUUUAUGUGGAACAAUCUCUUCAAAGAAUUUGAACAUUUUUUUUCUCAGUCCACGCCCGACCUUGUCCGAAUCAAAGAUUGUUUUCGCACUCGUUUUAGGACGAAAACAAUCUUCUCUGAUCUCCGCUUUUACUCCACCGGUGCGUUUCUUCAUUCUUCUUUUGAAUUUUUUUGCCUUGCUAAUAGUACUGUUUUAUGUGCGAGUCAUUUUUUGUUGGCAAGUAAAUUGCUGGUUAUAUCAGGCGUUGCAAAAACACUCGCUUCAAAAUAAAGCGAGUCGGCAUAAAAAAGGCGAAAUAAUAUAAUAUAUAAAACAGGUUAUCUUGGUGGUGCAAUAUUUUUUCUGAAAACCAUCAGCCCAGAGAUGGACCCAGGAUUUUGAAACGUGGGUGGCGAGCAUGUAUCAAAAAACAUCUUAGGUUAGCGAACCUAUAUAAUACUACUAUAAUAUUAGAGUUUUUUCAGAACCUUAGGUUAGCGGUCGCCCCUGCCACCCUCCUCUCUUUCCAUCAUCCUUGCAUCAGCAUCGCAUGAAUGCAUUUUUACAUGUGGAUAAUUAUCUUAGAUAUAAACCAUGAAUUUCAUACUCUGUAGUUUUUAACUUGAGAAUAGAUGUACUUGUUCUCCAUUGCUAAUAACAGGUAUUAUUGAAAAAUAUUACAAUGUUAUAAUUUAAAUUGUGAAAUACAAGCUUAUGAGAUUUGGUAUUUAUGGAUGAGUGCUGAUAUACAAACAGAAAAUUUAUAUAGAAUUUUUGUAUAGGAUGAUGUGGAGAAGGUAAAGUCUUUCUAUUUAUAUAGAUGGCUUUUAUUCACCAAAAGGCCAAUGACUCAUCAUUCUUGUGGUGUUUUAUGUUUUUAUGGAUAUGUGUCACUUGUCAAUAGAUAAACACCUUUCUUCAUAAUCAUUCCAUAGAAUGACCUAGGACUUAUUCUUGGUCUAU
rnacentral:lncRNA from 1 species